UAUUGCUCUUCAACGAGGAAUCCCUAGUAAGCACAAGUCAUCAGCUUGUGUUGAUUACGUCCCUGCCCUUUGUACACACCGCCCGUCGCUACUACCGAUUGAAUGGCUUAGUGAGGCCUUCGGAUCGAUGAUCGAAGACUGGCAACAGUUUUUGGUUGUUAAGAAGUUGGUCAAACUUGGUCAUUUAGAGGAAGUAAAAGUCGUAACAAGGUUUCCGUAGGUGAACCUGCGGAAGGAUCAUUAAAAAAUUUGGGGUAUUUAUACCUCUUGUAUUUAAAACCCAACUCUUUAAACUUGAAUUUUUUUUAAUAAAAUCAAAACUUUCAACAACGGAUCUCUUGGCUCUCGCAUCGAUGAAGAACGCAGCGAAAUGCGAAAAGUAAUGUGAAUUGCAGAAUUCCGUGAAUCAUUAAAUCUUUGAACGCAAAUUGCACUCCUUGGUAUUCCGAGGAGUACACUUGCUUGAGGGUCAGUUAAAAAACUAUCGUUACAUAUUUUUUGUGUUGCGGAUCUGGGUUAUCCGACUCUUUAAGUCGGUUACCUAAAAUUAAAGAUUAUAAUGUGAUACGUACUAAGAUAAAGUCGUUUAUCAUUAAAACUUGAUAUAUAUUACUUCUAAUUUUUUUAGUUGGUAGUGUAUAUAAUUUCUAAAAAUGACCUCAAGUCAAGUGAGAGUACCCGCUGAACUUAAGCAUAUCAAUAAGCGGAGGAAAAGAGACUAACAAGGAUUCCCCUAGUAACGGCGAGUGAAGCGGGAAGAGCACAAAUUUUAAAUCUACCUGGUUUACCGGGUCGAGUUGUAAUUUGAAGAAGCGUUUUUAAUGUUCCGGGUUGGUUUAAAUCCUUUGGGAUAAGGUAUCAUGGAGGGUGAGAAUCCCGUGUAUAUCAACCGCUGGGAUGUUAUUAAUACGUUCCUAAGAGUCGAGUUGUUUGGGAAUGCAGCUCUAAAUGGGUGGUAAAUUUCACCUAAUGCUAAAUAUAAGCGAGAGACCGAUAGCGAACAAGUACCGUGAGGGAAAGAUGAAAAGAACUUUGAAAAGAGAGUUAAAUAGUACGUGAAAUUGUUGAAAGGGAAACGAUUGAAGUCAGUCAUGCCGGCGGGAAUCAACUUUGGGGAAGGGGGAUUUUUUUGAACCUAACCUUGAAGUGCACUUCCUUGCUUGGCAGGUUAGUGUCGAUUUUGAACGUCAUAAAAUGACUGGGGGAAGGUAGCUUCUUCGGGAGUGUUAUAGCUCUUAGUUAAUGUGAUGUUUGGGAUCGAGGAUUGCAACGGAUACCUUUUAGGCUAGCCGCCUGGCCUCUGAUUCGAUGUUGGGUUAUAGACAGCAUGCUGACUAUGAUCUGAUUAUUGGUCAAAAGGUUAGAGUGAGCAUAAAUUCGUCAAGGACGCUGACGUAAUGGCUUUAAACGACCCGUCUUGAAACACGGACCAAGGAGUCUAACAUGUAUGCGAGUGUU
rnacentral:rRNA from 1 species